AGUCGACCUCGGCGGAAUUUGAACUCAGAACGUAACGACAGACGAAAUACCGCUAAGCAUUCCGCCCGGCGCGCUAACGUUUCUGCCACGUUCAACUUGUACAAUACAAAGUUAACUUUGUUUUGACUCCCACUAGUAUCUAUUCCGCUUUACUUACAUCACCAUCCUCAUAGAGUAACUACUGGACAUCGUACAAAUUCAACUAUGCACCACUGAUAGUGAUAAUGGCUUUGAGCCUCAACAUGGUCGUUCGCCGUGUUAGAAAUAGCAGUAAAAUAACCCUCCAGUCACAUCCUAUUGUCUUAAGAGAGAGAGAAAAAAAAAGGAUACAUCGGAUAAUUUAGACAUAAUGUAACUAAAAAUAAAGAUCUAGUUAUGGCUGGAAUGUCUUUCAUCAUAGAUCGGGACUGAACUGACUUUAAACAACACUAACAGGAGAUGAAUCUGAUGUCCGAAAAAAAAACUCCGACUGUCCGUUAGCUGGAAAGUGCCCAGUGAUUUUAAGUUGCCUACUCUCCUAAGGUUAGUGAUCUUUUUAUUAAGCCUCAAUAGGUGACUUAAUACACUUUUACAGAAUUAAGGAAUUAAAAGUGAAACAUGCUGUAGAGAAAAACUGACAUUGCCAGUUAAUGUUCAGCAUGGCAGCUUUAGUCAAUGCUUGAGCAGAAUAAUGUUGAAAGGGAUCAGAAAUAGAGAUGAUAAACACAAUAGAGAAAAACACAGGAUGAUAAACACAGUAGAUCAGGCUAUAAAUGUGUUAAAACUUCUCAUGCAUAAAUUUACUGAACUGUAAGUUGGAGAAGGGAAACGAAAGGAGAAGAAAGAAGACAAACUGUGGCUAAAGUGCUCUGCCGAGCCAGAGUGUGUGCUAAGUAAAAAGGAGUAAAAAAAUAUAUAAAAAGAACCAACAAAAGAAGAAUUUAGGAAGAGAUAGAAUGAGGCUUUCAAUUAGCCAUGAAAGUAAAACAGUUUACAAUGCAUUUUAUACUCUGAACUCCAUAAGUGGGUAGUGGUGGGCAUAUUUUUGUGCAGUCUGUUGUCCUGGACUUUGCAAUUAAUCUUACUAGCAGUCAAAUACAAAGACUGGCAAGAAAAUAGCAGUUCUGCAAAAAUCUCUGGCAUUUGAAUUACAGCCACUGUUUUGAGUAGUUUGCAUUUAAGUGACAACUUUGAAAGAACAAACCAAUGUGAGCAGACAAAAGAAGCAAGAGAAUAUGAAGCUGGAAAUAAAUUCUAUGUAAAAUUA